AUUGUUGAAUCUUGUUCUGGAUGAAGCUAUAGCAUUUCUGAGAGCUGAGUGAUCUGUUAUCGCUAGUCUGUGCAAUACUUCGACAAAUUAUAUCAUAUUGUAUUGUAAUUCUUGUUUGCUUCUGAAUAAUCAUCGGUUAUAUCAUUCUUCAAUUGGUUAAUUCAAUUUCAUAUCAUCUCGAUUAGAUACUCGUGACUUCAUGGGAAUAAUGUUUUGCUCUAAUCAACUCCUAAGAUGUUUCUUAAACCGUAUGAAGCUUAUGAUGUUUUCCUCAUAUUAUACGUUUAACUAUUUUCUGUAUGCAGAUCCAGAAGAUCCACUGAAGACGACUGAUCAGACACGUCGCCUUGGCUUAAUAGUUUGCCGUGGAACAGCAGUGAUGCUCGUUUCUCCAACAGAUGGAACAGACGAAAUUUCCAAUCCAUUCGUCCAGCCCGAUGGAGCAUAGUCUCGUUUUUCUCUGGUAUCAGUUUUCCUACUUUCUCUGCUUCGCAAACUUUCUGAGAUCAUUUUCAAAUUUUCAUCUACUUUUUUCGUAAUCAAUAUUUACAACGAUAACCUAUGGCAUAGGUGAAAAAUAUAAUCAAUUUGUGUCAACUUUCUCUAAUUUGGUUUGUAAUAUCGCAAUAUUAAGGUACUCCGAUAUGCUAUAUUCUCGCUAGACAUUUAUAUACUAUGGUUUAUUAUUCUAUGCUACA